AGUAUAGUGCCUGAUUGAAAAGGAUAGCUUUGAUAGAGCUAAUCAUGUAUAUUAUUAUACCUAUGCUA
rnacentral:tRNA from 1 species